rnacentral:rRNA from 1 species
GUAGGGUGCGAGCGUUAAUCGGAAUUACUGGGCGUAAAGCGUGCGCAGGCGGUUUUGUAAGCCAGAUGUGAAAUCCCCGGGCUUAACCUGGGAAUGGCAUUUGGGACUGCAAGGCUGGAGUGCGGCAGAGGAGACUGGAAUUCCCGGUGUAGCAGUGAAAUGCGUAGAUAUCGGGAGGAAUACCGAUGGCGAAGGCAGGUCUCUGGGCUGACACUGACGCUCAUGCACGAAAGCGUGGGGAGCAAACAGGAUUAGAUACCCUGGUAGUCCACGCCCUAAACGAUGUCGACUGGUUGUUGGGGGUUUGACACUCUCAGUAACGAAGCUAACGCGUGAAGUCGACCGCCUGGGGAGUACGGCCGCAAGGUUAAA